rnacentral:rRNA from 1 species
UACGUAGGGCGCAAGCGUUGUCCGGAAUUAUUGGGCGUAAAGAGCUCGUAGGCGGUUUGUCGCGUCUGCUGUGAAAACCUAAGGCUCAACCUUGGGCUUGCAGUGGGUACGGGCAGACUAGAGUGCGGUAGGGGGUGACUGGAAUUCCUGGUGUAGCGGUGGAAUGCGCAGAUAUCGGGGAGGAACACCGGUGGCGAAGGCGGGUCUCUGGGCCGAUACUGACGCUGAGGAGCGAAAGCGUGGGGAGCAAACAGG